rnacentral:lncRNA from 12 species
UGGGGAGCCCCGGCCCAGCCGGGGGCGCGGCGGGCGCCAGGAGCCUACAGGUGCGAGGAGCCGGCAGGUGCCCAGGCUGGGGCCUCGCCCGGGUCAGGGCGGCGGCGGAGACGGCAGGGCCGGCGCUCAGCCCACCGACGCCGCGUUGGGCCUGGAGAGGGGCGGGCGCACACGGGGGCACCGCGGCCCGACGGCGGCAGGUCCAGGCCUGGGACGGCCGAGAAGGCCCGAACCGCUCCCCUUUCAUGCUCCUCCGGGGGGUCCGGGGUCCCUCGACAGCUCUCACUCACGUCCUCCGCGACCCCCGCACCUUCAGGCCCCGGCCUUCGUCCUCCAGCACAAGACCAAAGCGCCCAGAGCAGGGGGGCCAAGGCCCCUCGCCCCCACCAAGGCCCGGCUCCAUCGCCCUCCAGCCCUUCUCGUGAGGAGACGCGCCUCCUCCGUGCACAACCCUCCACGUGGCUACGGAGCCCGAGGCCGCAGGCCUGGGUCCUCCCCACCCGCCGACCGUCCCGCCGGCCCUGUGACCGCACCGUCCUGUGCCCCGAGCGCGCUCCGGGGUCUCGCCCGCGCCCUUCCUCCUCCACGGGUCCCCCCGGCGCCUGCCAGGCUUCCCUCGGCCUCUUCUUCUUUUAUUUUUUUCUUAAAGAUUUUAUCUAUUUAUUCCUGAGAGACCCAAAGAGACGCAGAGACCCAGGCAGAGGGAGGAGCAGGCUCCCUGCGGGGACCCCACGUGGGACUCGAUCCCGGGCCCGGGGUCACGGCCUGGGCCGCAGGCGGGCACUAAACCGCUGGGCCGCCCGGGCGCGCCCUCUGGGCCUCCCCAACGCCAAACCUCCCGGAGGACCGGCCGCCCUCCCGGGGCGCCCUCCCGCCCAGCUCUGUGCCUGUCACACCGAGAGCUGGCUCUGGAGACGCGGGGCAGCUCCAGGGCAAACCGCCCUGCCCGGGUCCCGGCCUCCCCCGUGCCCCCUGCGCCGCGGGCCGCGCCCUCUGUACUCCUUACGGCCAGACGGGGUGGCUCCGUGCGGCCUGCAGCCCGCGGCGCCAGUGACAGCAGCAGGUGCCAGAGCCGUGGCCGUCGGGGGCCUUGGCGGAGGGCGAGAGCCGGAAGCUCGCGUGCGGCCCUCCUCCUUCCAGCCCCCUCCUGCCCUCAGCGCGUUGCUGCAGCGUGGCCGGCGUCCCGGGGACCCCGAGGACAAGGCCCGUGACAGGGCCAAGGGGGAUGCAAGCGGAGGCGACUCGUGCCUGCAGCGCCGCUGCCGGGGGCCGCCAGGUCUGCAUUGUCCCCAGCUCGAUUACUCACGUCCCAUGACGCUGUCGUAACUAGAGGAGGCCUUGGACCUGGUUCUGAAACAGGAUUUCUGGGGGAGAAUCAUAAAAAGAUAGCUUAGAUGAAACAUGGCCCGUUCAGUCAGCAUCUUCCCUCGGCCACUCUCCCUUCCUCUUCCUCCUACCUGGAAUGCAGAGGUGAUGCCUGAACAUGGGGCAGCCCUACUGCACCCGAGAGAAAAGAGCCACGCAUGAAGGCUAGCAAAGCACGUGUGUAAGUCAGCCCUGGACUGAUGUCCUGCCCUCACACCCACGGCUCCCUGAGAAAGCUGAACGCCCCCCCUUCAUAUCAGCCACCAUUUGUCGGGUUUCUAUCACAUGCAGCCAAACACAACCUUAACCAACCUAUCACGGGAGCAGAUCUGUGCAGGUGAGCGCACAGAGGAAAGAAGACAAGAGGGUGGUGCCCUGGGAAUUGCUGGGAGACGAGAGAAGGCAGCAGAGGAGUCACCCAGGGCAGGGACUAACUAGGAGUCAUGAGACGGAUGUUUUAAACAUGAGGUCACGAAGAAAUAAUCCCACAGUUAUAUGGUCCAUUAGUCUCUGACAAAAGAGAGGCAAGGAUACGCACUGGGAAGAAGUCUCUUCAACAAGUGAUGGUGGGAAAACUGGACAGCUACAUGCAAGAGAGCAACGCUGGACCCCUUCUUUAUAUCACACGCAAGAUAAACUCAAAAUGGAUCGAGGAUAUACGCGUGAGACUGAAACUACAAACAUCUUAGGAGAUCGCACAGGGAGUAAUGUCUCUGACAUCGGCUGCAGCAACAUUUUUUUAGCUGUGCCUCCUGCAGCAAGGGAAACAAAAGCAAAAAUAAACUACUGGGAUUCCAUCA